rnacentral:rRNA from 1 species
UACGGGGGGGGCAAGCGUUGUUCGGAAUUAUUGGGCGUAAAGAGCUUGUAGGCGGUUUGUCGCUUCUGCUGUGAAAAUCCGGGGCUCAACCCCGGACUUGCAGUGGGUACGGGCAGACUAGAGUGUGGUAGGGGAGACUGGAAUUCCUGGUGUAGCGGUGAAAUGCGCAGAUAUCAGGAGGAACACCGAUGGCGAAGGCAGGUCUCUGGGCCACUACUGACGCUGAGAAGCGAAAGCGUGGGGAGCGAACAGG